GACGGAGGAUGCAAGCGUUAUCCGGAAUUAUUGGGCGUAAAGCGUCCGCAGGUGGUCUAUCAAGUCUGUUUUCAAAGAGCGGGGCUUAACUCCGUAAAGGGGAUGGAAACUGAUGGACUAGAGAUUGGUAGGGGCAGAGGGAAUUCCCAGUGUAGCGGUGAAAUGCGUAGAUAUUGGGAAGAACACCAGUGGCGAAAGCGCUCUGCUGGGCCAAGACUGACACUGAGGGACGAAAGCCAGGGGAGCGAAAGGG
rnacentral:rRNA from 1 species